rnacentral:rRNA from 1 species
GACGAACGCUGGCGGCGUGCUUAACACAUGCAAGUCGAGCGGUAAGGCCCUUUCGGGGGUACACGAGCGGCGAACGGGUGAGUAACACGUGGGUGACCUGCCCUCAGCUCUGGGAUAAGCCUGGGAAACUGGGUCUAAUACCGGAUAUGACUCCAUGACGCAUGUUGUGGGGUGGAAAGCCUUGUGCGGCUGAGGAUGGGCCCGCGGCCUAUCAGCUUGUUGGUGGGGUGAUGGCCUACCAAGGCGACGACGGGUAGCCGGCCUGAGAGGGCGACCGGCCACACUGGGACUGAGACACGGCCCAGACUCCUACGGGAGGCAGCAGUGGGGAAUCUUGCGCAAUGGGCGAAAGCCUGACGCAGCGACGCCGCGUGAGGGAGGACGGCCU